UUGCAUGUUCUACCGACUGAGCCAGCCAGGCACCCCAGUUUGCUCUCUAUCUAAAGUUAGGGUCCUCCUUUAUGGCAAUGAUUGCUUUACUGGCUUUAAGGAGCCCAGGCCUAAGUCAAGUUUGAAUUAACCCCUUGGUUGUGUCACAGGGGUGCUAUGAGUGCUUUUCCCCAAUAAUCCUGAGAAUCAGGAGUUCUGUCCUGUCCUGUCCGCUGAGCUUAGGUUCCUAACUGCUUCACGCAGCAACAUCUUACUCCCGUGGGCAAGAGUCAAUCAUCCUUGCAACUAUCACCCAGCAGUGCUGGCAGGGGUGGUGGUGAGGGGGGCAUCAGGUCAAUUUAUUUUGUGAGGCAGAUGAAAACAUGGCAUGGGCUGGCUGUGUUUUACCCAGACCCACAGGGCCUGUUCUCAGUCACUGUGUUUCCUCCAGGAGUAACAACUGGUCUGAAGGGGGGGGGGGGGGAAUUUCCCUUUCCUCUUUUUCCCUCUACUUUUCUCUAAGUCCCAGGGCCUGAUUGGUUAAGUGCCCAGAGAGGAGUCAUGGUGACUCACAAUGGUUCUCAAAACUUUGUGACCACAUGCAAUGAAUGGCAGGCUAUGGACACUGACUAACACCACCUGGGUUACUUCUGGUUCAGGGCUGAACACGGUCCACUGGGCAAUGGUCAGUGACUCUGGCCUCGAGAUCCAAUCACCCAGUGAGAGCGGCAAGGGAACUCAGUCCCAGGCUUCCUCCAUUGUGCUCUUUGUGAAGCCAUCCGUAGCGCCAACGAGUCAUGGAGAGGGUAUGCUCUGAAGUCCGUCCCAGCAUACCCAUCCCGAGCAUCAAGAGGAAGGCAGACGAAUACUUAAAACCCACCCUGGGCUCCAAAAACGUCCUGAGCUUUUUACUCGGUAGGCAGUUAGGGAGCCACAGAAAUGAUCUGGAUCUGUCCAAGUGGCUGUGGAUGCUGACGCGAGCCGCACCAGAGUGGAGGUGGCCCUUGCCAAAAAAUCACAUAACCUAUGUGCUCAUGCCUCCGUGCAAUUUUGGAAAAUGCAAAAAACCGGUUUAGAAUAACAAUAGCCUUGCUUCAGCUGUUCAAAUAAAAGCUGCAUUUUCACUCCCA